rnacentral:tRNA from 1 species
GUGGAUGUAGCUCAGUGGUAGAGCCCCGGAUUGUGGUUCCGGAUGUCGAGGGUUCAAAUCCCUUCAUCCACCCCA